rnacentral:lncRNA from 1 species
UCUCUUUCUCUUCUCCCUCUCAUGAUCUUUCUCUCAAUCUCUCUGUGUGUCAUUUUCUAUUUUGUGAUGAGAAAACCAUGUGCGAAGCCUUUUCCGAUGACAACCAGUGUGUGAUAUAGAUUUAUGUGUUCUUAGUGGAAUCAGAUGGUGAGUAUGGGUAUGGUCAUGAAUGAAAAAUGAAGCUCUACCAUUGUUGUGAUAUGCGUGUAUGGUAUUUUAGUGGUGUCAGGUGGGUGUUAAUGGUGGAGUGAUGGUUUUGUCAUGGUGUUAAUGGAGUGUGUGCGAUGGUGCUGAUUGUGAGGGAAUUUUGUGAAGGUGUCUGUGGUAAUUGUAUAUUCCUUUUUAUUUGUGAGAGUGUAUAUAUAUUAUAUUUUGUUCCCUUAAAACAAAAUGGUUCCUUGUGGGCUUUCCUGGAAGUUUCCUAGUGGGCCCCUUUCUAAUUUUUAUCCCUUUUUGCCUUUGUGGACAAGAAAUAUGAGGGGGAGGGGGUCACGUGGGUAUGGGGUAUUGGGGGUAGGGGUAUGGGUAAUUUGUCUUCUUUUAAUUGAAAGGGUUGUUAGGAUGUUAAAAGAAUAAAAGUUUGUUAGGAAUUUUGUUGAGAGUUAUUUUUUUGUAUUUUUAUGGGAUGUAAUUACAUGGGAGAGGGUACACGGUAGGAUAAGGUAAAAAUGGAGAAAACGAUAUCGGGGAGGGACGAAAUUACAUGUCUACAUCAUGCUCCCUUUGAAUGUAAACACGCAGUGUUUUCAGACAAAGAAGUAAACAACGAGACCAAAUUUUAUCUCGAUCAUUAUUCAAAGAGAGGAGUAAAAGAAAGAAAGACAACCGAAUCCUUUAGGACACCCUACCUACCCAAGUCAUGAGGAAGUUAAGUGAUAGGUGUUUCAAAGGAUUGGAAAGAGAUGGACUAUACCGAGUUGGAGAGUCGAGUGAGGUUCCAUAGAGGUUUCAAAACACACAUUUAAACAUUCAAGGCAUUCAAUCAACACAUCACUCCUAAAUUUUUGCCUACCCAAACCUAUAUUGCCUAUUCAUUUCACCAUAUCGUAAAUCUAUCACGUUCAUGCUUAUCCCGAAUUAAAGAAAAUGGCAACGGAACAAAAUUUAACUACAAUCAACUUCUAUCAAAUUCUUAAUUACACCCCUAAAUUCAUUCUCAACUAAUGAUUAACCUAGCUUCGAUUAUCAAUUCAAUUUCUCGCACCCAAAUUCAACAUCAACCAGCAUCAACCAUACACACAGUAAAGGCUCAAGCAUGAUAAGCAUACCAAAACAUUCACGUCUGCAAGAACAAUCAAAAUUUGAGAUAAAAAUAGAGAAUGAAAGAAAUGGACCUCAAGUUUCUCUUUCAAAAUCAAUGUAUUAUUUCAAUUAAAUCCGACUUCUCCACAUCCGAAGCCUUUGAGUCGAACCUCAACAGCAGACCCAGUCCAAACUCGGUACUACCAAAAUUAAAACCCCGAACUGACCACAAUGAUCCAAUAUCUCGCUAAAAUCUAACGGAAAAUCAAACACCCGCAAGGUUCAAACUCCGAUGAGUCAUCGGUGAUGCAGACGACCAGAACAACCAGUCGCCGGACGGAUUCCAUCUGAAAUUGAAGAACAACGGAGGGAGGUUUGACCGUUUUAUACGAAUGACGAACGGAAGGGAUGACUCCGGCGAAUCUAUUGCCAGAACAGUAACCCGAAAUCAACCCUGCUUCCUUCUUCGUUAUGGAUCUAGACCUCUCUCACUCUAUCUCCCUCCCAUUCUCGAAUCUCUCUCUCUCUUUCUCUUCUCCCUCUCAUGAUCUUUCUCUCAAUCUCUCUGUGUGUCAUUUUCUAUUUUGUGAUGAGAAAACCAUGUGCGAAGCCUUUUCCGAUGACAACCAGUGUGUGAUAUAGAUUUAUGUGUUCUUAGUGGAAUCAGAUGGUGAGUAUGGGUAUGGUCAUGAAUGAAAAAUGAAGCUCUACCAUUGUUGUGAUAUGCGUGUAUGGUAUUUUAGUGGUGUCAGGUGGGUGUUAAUGGUGGAGUGAUGGUUUUGUCAUGGUGUUAAUGGAGUGUGUGCGAUGGUGCUGAUUGUGAGGGAAUUUUGUGAAGGUGUCUGUGGUAAUUGUAUAUUCCUUUUUAU